CCGAGUAAGGAUGUGAAAAUGAAGAGGAGCCUGGUCUGAGGCUGAGGGGGGAGACAGCAGAUGAGUGCGUGGCCCAGGAGCCAGAGGAAAAGGAGCUGAAGAAAGAGCCUGGUGUCACAGAAAAUAGAACAUUAACGACGUCUGCUGUGUUGUAUCUCCAAGCAGGGAAACAACUCAUUGGUCAGAACUACUUGCCUGGUUCAACCACAGGGCUCUGUGGGGGACAGGGCAGUGAAAAGGACCUUUCACAGAGAUUACUCAUAAGAAACAAGGCUAAAUCUCCCCAGAGGAAAACUACAAGGGUCCUACCGCCGGGGUAGUGACGAGCACAUGCACGCGAAAAUGGAAUCUUGUAAGAACGGUUUGUCCAGAUCACUUCGGGAUCCCCAGCACCUGGCACGUGGUGGCACCCACUAGCUUCUCAAUGAAAGCUUGUUCAAUAAAUGAAUGACCCCCACUAUUGGUGAGAGUGUCUGAAUUUAGACACCGUUUAAAAAGCCUA